GUUUCCGUCCGGGCAUUAGUGGCGCCGGCACCGGCAGGAAGCGGAGCUCUCGGCGGGGCCUGACGCCGUCGCUAUGGCGACCGACGGCGCUGCCGCGCGGACGCAACGGCUGCGAGGCUCAGUGAGUAACGGCCGCGCCCGGCAGCUCGCGCCCGGCCCCGCGGUAACGUCCACCCGCCCGCUCUCUCCGGGGAGGCCGCCCCGGGCGGCGAGACCCGGCGCGCAGCGGGCGCCGCGUCCCUCUGCUGCCUGCCCCGGGCCGAGACCGCCCUGGCGCCGGGCAGCGGGCUCCGCCUGCCCCUCUCCCGCCGCGGGGGCGGCUGGGCGCACGGGCCGCACGAGCAGCCUUUUCCUCGCCGUUUUAGAGCAGCCGGGUUACGCAGCAAGAGGCUUUCUAGUCAUGAACUCCUGCUUCCCUUGCAUCAGCACUGUCAUUCAUGUGACCACACAGUGAAAUAAUUCAUGGAGAUAAAUGAACAAAAAAUCUAAUUCUACUAGAAAAAAUUACAGUUUUUGCUGAUUUGAGAUUUCCCCUGAACAGAUCUGUCAUGCAUCAGUGCCAGCACUGAGAAGAAGGCAGGAGAACUUGUCCGGGACAGGGGGGAAGAGAUGGAAGAAGGAAGCAAGUUUGCCUAUUUUGAUGUCAGCUAGCCAUCAGAUCAUAUUACUUUAUCAUCAAGCCGAAUGCUGAGCUAAGACCAAGCAAAAUCUGUAACAGUCAGCACAUCAUAAAGCUUUCUCAGGAUAACACAUCACCACAAACAUUUGAAGGCUGAAAUAUAUAAAAGGGGAACAUUACUCAGACUGCCAAAGAGCUGGACUCUGCAUUUCCCUUUGCUGACCCUUCAUGAGAUUCCUCUCUGCCAAUUUCUCCAGCCUGUCGAGCUCUCUCUGAAUGGCAGUGCAACCAUCUGGCGAAUCAGGCACUCCUCCCAGUUCUGUAUUGUCUGCAAACUUGCUGAGGGAGGACUCGCUCCCAUCGUCCAGAUCAUUAAUGAAGAUGUUAAACAGUAUUGACCCCUCAUGGACACUACUACUCACUGACCUCCAGCUGGACUUCAGGUCUCUCAUCGCAACCCUGAGCCCCGCAGUUCAGCCACUUUUCAAACCACCUUACUGUGCCCUAAUCUUGCCUGUACUUCAUCAGCUUGUGUAUGACGAUGUUAUGGGAGACAGUGUCAAAAGCCGUACUGAAGAAGAGACACACAACAUCCACCGCUCUCCUCUCAUGCACCAAACCAGUCAUCUCAUCUCAUCUCAUCCAGCAAGCCAAUCAUCUCAUCUUUACAGCCAGACUUCCUGUUAGUCAUGAAAACCCUCAAAUAAUUGGUUGUAUUUAUACUUAUUGUAUGUAUAAGCAAAAGUCUUUCAGCAGUGGAUUGUCUGUUAAGCAUCAACAAACUGAACUUGAGCCAUGGUCUGCACUCCUGAAGGCAUAUAAAACUAUUCGCAACGGAAUUAUCAUUUCCCCUAUGUAGAAUUACAGUGUGAUAGUAAUCUCACAGAGGGAAUUAUAUGCACUGUUUAUAUGUAGCUUUAUCAACAAAUAAUAGAGAUAUCUACCAUGCUUAAAUCUUGUCAUGGUGAUUUAAAUGACAUGAUGGCAUGUCUACAUUUUGUAGACUCUGAAAAUACUAAUUUAAUAUACUUUCAAACAUCCAUUUAAGAAAUGUACAACAAGGCCUUGAUCGUGCAAGGAAGUAUCUAUG